rnacentral:lncRNA from 1 species
AAAAAAAAAACUACAGUAAGUCCACAUACACAUAAGAGGGUAUGGAUGUGAAUUAACAGAAUAGAGAACAAAGGACAAAGAAAAAAAAGGAAUAAAGAAUAGAGAAAGAAAGAGAAUAAUGGAAAAAAGUGUAAGUUAUUAAAAAUAUAACUAAAACAAGAAUGUGUCCCCAGUACACGGAUGCCCCACUCGCACUAUCAUUUUCUAUGUUCAGUGGACCGUGAAAUUGGGGUAAGAACUCUAAUUUGACAUUAAAAUUAGAAAGAUCAUACCAUAAGGAACAUAUAUACUAAGUUUCAGGUUGAUUGGACUUAACUUCAUCAAAAACUACCUCGACCAAAAACUUUAACCUGAAACAGGACGAACGAACGGACGAACGAACGGAGGCACAGACCAGAAAACAUAAUGCCCC